AGAUGAGGCAACUGAGGCAUAAUCAUUUUAUACAAGAGGUACACUGCGUUCUGGUUGAAAUAGUUUCUGCUGCAGCAAAUGCUACACCAGGUCUUGGAAGAUACCCUCCAUUCAAGAGAGAGGUAUGGUUUUAAGAAUGAGGCAAAGAAAAUGGUUGUUGCACUAGUUGAUAUGGAGCGAGCUUUUGUGCCCCCCCAACAUUUCAUCCGUUUGGUGCAA